rnacentral:rRNA from 1 species
GACGAACGCUGGCGGCGUGCUUAACACAUGCAAGUCGAACGGAAAGGCGCUGCGUUUGUGGGGUGCUCGAGUGCCGAACGGGGGAGUAAAACGUGAGUAAAAUGCACUUGACUGUGGGAUAAAUUCAGGAGACUGGGGCGAAUACCGGAUAGGAUCUCCUGCUGCAUGGUGGGGGUUGGAAAGUUACGGCGGUUGGGGAUGGACUCGCGGCUUAUGAGCUUGUUGGGGGGGUAGUGGCGGACCAAGGCUGUGACGGGUAGCCGGCCUGAGAGGGGGACCGGCGACAAUGGGACUGCGGUACGCACCAGACUCGUACGUGAGGCAGCAGUCGGGAGUAUUGCACAAUGGGCGGAAGCCUGAUGCAGCAACGCCGGGUGCGUGAUGACGGCUUUCGGGUUGUGAACAGAUUUCGACUGUGACGAAGCGUGAGUGACGGUAACGGGUCAAGAAGCACCGGCUAACUACGUG